UAAAUUCACAAUUAAAUAUCUAAUAUCCACCAAUACCGAUAUGAAUUACAAUAUCUGAUAACUGAUAUGGUACCGAUAAGCUGGGCAUCCCUACUUUUAACUCAUAACUUAUCAAUCAUAUUUUAGUAUCAAUAACCCCACUGAGCACACAAAAACUAAAACCAACAUGAUCACGCAUCUACAAGCCACAGAAAGUUGUGCUUUUUCAGAUCUGCCGAGAAAAAGGAAGUCGUCAUUUGGUGUUUCCACCAAACCUCUUCCAGUUCAGACCAAAUGCUGGCAAAGAGACGGACAACACGCAGACAUAGAAAAGACUGGCUAGCGUCACACAGGAGCAGGGCAUCCAUUAUGAAGACCACACAGGGCUCCAGACACUUCUCCAGUGAGAUAGACGCUAUCAGAGUGAGUGACAGGUGCUGGUUUUUCGUCCCAUCUCAUUCUCUGAUAGUACAGAUGAGCAAGCCUCCCGACACGUUCCAACUGUUUAUCAUCAGGCGGCUUGAUUUCCUCUUACAGAGAACAGAUGGCUUCCUUAACGGCUCUGUGCUCGCCUGUUUCAUCUUUAGUUCUCAGUGUAUCUCAGCACAGACGUUUCGAGAGAUCUGUGCCAGCACUGGAUUCGUCCUAAAGAAGAAAAAAUGGGAAAAUUAGCACCUUCAGUACUGUUAAAAAUACAUAUUAAUGCGACAGUAGUGGGACAGAAUAUAUAGGCUAUACCAGUUAUUUUUAUCAUAUUCAAAUAAUGCAGAUAAAAAGUGACAGUAAAGAAGUGACUAAAAUAAUAUGGAAAUGUGAAUUGAAAUUAUUUUAUUGUGAGAAGAAAGAGAGCGGAGAUUGAUCCUGUGUUUGACCAGUCAAGUAUUCCAGAGUGCCAUAUAGUAAAGGAUAACAUAUGACAUUAUGUCAGCUAAAGCAUUUGUCAAACUUCAAUCACAGUACUUAGGCUAAUGUCAACGUCAAUCCAUUAUGAAGUUUAUACUGGCCUCAGCUGUCUGCAAUGCAUUCAUGUAAGAAUGCUUGGAAGUACAGGCUAGCAUGCCAGCAAUGUGUAGCAGGACUUUGAAGUGUCAGCCUGGGUCAACAUAAACAACAGGUACUGCAGUAACAAACCUCAGAAACAGGUGGUCCGGUCAUGUCUGAAGCAAUACAUGCUGGUGGCCGCAUGAAAUGUUUCCGCUCAAGGACUGGAUCGAUGGGAUCAGUAGCUUUUGACCUAUUAAUCAAAGUAGCAGGUUUCCUGAACACUCCCCGCAUUUAUUGAAAAAAGUCAGUCGUGCAGGUUUGGAACGACAUGAGAUAUGGUUUGGCAUCUUUAAAAACUGGAACUUGAGAGUGGAAACCGUUCUGUACAUCUUUGGAGAGCAGACGACAGUCAUUGGCAUGUCAAAGGGCCAAGUGUUCACAUAUGGUCACAUAGCUGAACUAAUGGCUGACAGCCCUCAGCAAGGGCAUUAAAGUGACCCUGCCUCCAGGACAACACAAGCACGGACCAGCGCUCUGUAAACAGGGAUCCAGAAAUCUGUAAACAUACAAUUAGGCCAUUAAUGUUGCACAAUGGACUACUCACUCCUGAUAUCUCAACCACAAUAUAAAAAGGGUUUUCUUUAUUCCAAAGAACUUAAAAUACACAAUCAGAAAGUCCGCAAUUACGUGAACUAAAGAAAACAUAAAUCCAGUCUCUUGUAAUUUGUAUUUUUAUUUUAUUUACUUGUCAUUUCUUGUAAUUAUUUAUAAAAUUAGCUAUUUCUGAGUGAAAAUCCUACAGCAAACAUUUUUCAGUGUGGAAAAACAAACACUUGAACAUGAGUCAGCGUGAUAAGAGCUACCUAAAAUAACAGAAACCAUCUUCAGAAAAAAAUUAUUUGAUGUGUAAUUGGAUUUUUUUAGUUUUUUGGCUUGCAUCCCAUUCGACUCCAUGGAGAGGGCAGGGUUUAUGACCUAUACUGCAGCCAGCCACCAGGGGGCGAUCAAAAUGUUUUGGCUGCACAGCACACUUGGUACUCAACAAAAUUAUUCUAAAAAUGUUGCUAACUACUGUAUUUUUAUUGGCCUUACUUAGAUACUCAAGUAUUUGUUCAAAACCUGUUCAAAUGUUGUCCAAAUUCUGUCCAAAUUGAGUCAUCUGAACCAACACAAUCUCACAGGAAAACGUAACUAUUUUACAAGGUGGCGAUUUCGUAUGAAUUGUAUGGUUUUUAGAAAAAAGUAAUCAUGAAGGUCCUCCACCAACCCCAUCCCUAAACCUAACAGCCACUGGGGCAUAAGCAGAUUGUACGAAAACGCACGAAUGCAAUACGAAUUCAUACGAAUUUGGCACCAAUUCACCAAAACAUAAAAUAAUUACAAAUUGCCAUGAGAUUGUGUUGUCUGAACAAACAAUUUUAAAUUGAACCAUGUUUUGCAAGCUCCCAGCAUGCAUUGCAGCCUGAAAUAAUUAUUAAACUAUUAUUAAGCAGAUUGUGCGAAAAUGCACAAAUGCGAUUGUACGAAUUUGCCACCAAUUCGCCAAAACGUAAAAUAGUUACGAACUGGCAUGAGAUUGUGUUGUUUGAACAAACUAUUUUAAAUUGAACAUUUUGAAAGUUCCCAGCAUUCAUUGCAACUUGAAAUAAUUAUGUGAUAAGAUAACUAUUAUUAAACUCACAAAUGCAAUUGUACGAAUUCAUACGAAUUUGCCACCAAUUCGACAAAAUGUAAAAUAGUUACGAAUUGACAUGAGAUUGUGUUGUUUGAACAAACUAUUUUAAAUUGAACAUUUUGCAAGUACCCAGCAUGCAUUGUGUAUUUAUAUGUACAUCUAAUUGCAACUUUUAAUAUAUUUACCUGAAAUGCUAAACAAUCAUAAUUUCCCUUGACAAGAAUUUAUAAGUUCAUUAGAUGAACAAAAGUUAAGUAUUCAGUUGUUAGUUGCGUUAACAUAAUAAAUUGACUGUAAUAUGUUGCCUUUUUUAAAAAAAAAGUUAGGUCCCCUUUUUUUGUUUUACAGUGAUGUUAUCUGAGACAUAUCUCAAUCGUAGCAAAAACUAACAAACCUGUGGGAAAUCCUUCACAGAUCUGACAGUGUGAGAAAGUUAGCGCACAGAUUUGAAACAGACAGCUUACAAUGGACCUUAUCUGUAUUGAGUGUUUAUGAUAGAUAAGGUUUGGGGAAAAACCUGCCUGCAGUGACAGCCAUCAGACGGUCAGAGUGUUCUGAUAGAAAGCCUGGACACAUCUUGAGAUUGUUAACAAAUAGACUGCUUCAUACAGAUAAGCUCGACAGAGAUUCAGUACAAUCGCAGGGACGUUUUUUAACAUAUGAGACUAUUUGAAUACGCUAUAGGAUCAGCUUUGUUUGGUUUGAGUUCCAAGCAAGACCUUUUCAUAAUCAGCUUGUAUCAUCAGCUUGGCCUGAAUUAGUUUUUUGACAUCAGCAUGCAAUAUUAGUUUUCUAUUUAACUGUUACCUAUUUAAAUCUCUGUCAUGGUAAGGGCAAGAUUUGAAUAAUUCAAAUACAUUUGUACAGCACACGUAGAUGAUGGAAGAAGGACAUAGAAAGGCUUUCAUUUGAGAUGGAACAUUUUCAUUUCUAACCGCCUGAUAUACAGUAUUUUCUUUUGUUUUGCAUGUUCCGCUCUAAAAUUGGAAGUCAAAGAAGAAGUAAUUAUCCCUCUAAAUUGAGCCAUUUCACAUAAUUAUUUCUUGGAAUGUAAUGUUUUUUACUGAGCUACAAAGAACAUUGAAACUUGCCAUUUUAUUUGCCGUUUGUGUCGCAUAAUGGGUUUUCCCAUCAGCUCCAGACUGCGCUGGUUAAUUUGGGAAGAGGUCUUGUUCCCUCCGAGAGCACAAUUUAAUGAGGGAUAUCAUCCAACUGAGAGAAGUUAUAUUUAUUUAUAUAUUUUAUAUUUAUUAAUGUAUUUGUCUUUCAAGAUUUGUCAUUGUAUACACUUGAUACAAAUGAAGGAGGAAUGAUGGCCGUAAUUUUUGUAAUCAAAUAAAAUAUUAAAUUGA